AAUAUGUGGUUGGGAUCCAAUUGGACCAACGAUGAUUGUGUGAGUUCCUCGCCAGAAUUCAUGGCUGACGGAUUCCAUGUGAACUGUACUUGUAACAGCCUAGGGGUUAUUGGUGUGUUUGAGGGUCCAGUUGUCAUAGAAUCAACAACUCUACUUGAGACAACAACACAAGAAGAAACAACAGUGACAACAGAAAUGACAACAAUGAAAACAACAACAACAACAACAACCCCAAAAACAGAGAUACUUAUAACGUUUGUCACCGAGGCAAAUAUUGAUCAGAAUACACAAGACGUGGUCAUAUCAAAAGCUGUGAAGUCAACCACCACCACUAAGAGUCCCCCUGUCCCUGACUCCACGACCCCCUUAAUUCUGUCAGCAUCCCCGCCUACGCCGGCAAGGUGUACAUUUUGUUUGCCCUCCAUGACAACUUUGCCACCAUUGUAGCUGGACAGGAGAACAGUUUCAGGUUACACAUUAUGCAGAUACUGACUUCCUACCUCAAAAUCCCAGCCUCCAGGAUAACCAAUCUACAGGUGGAAAAAGUCAAAAACAAUGACGAUGACGGUGUGGAUGUCCCUCGGCCCAUGGUGGGGAAAACCAACAGUACAUCUGGUAACUGGGUUGAGACUGAGGCUAACACAGUGGACAGUGUCUCUGAUGCGUGUGUGUAGAAAAUUCUCCAUCUUAAUUACACCUACAGAAGUAACUCGGCUAAACCUCCAUC